GACGAACCGUGCGAACGUUAUUCGGAAUCACUGGGCUUAAAGCGCGUGUAGGCGGGCCGGCACGUCGGUCGCUGAAAUCCCCCGGCUCAACCGGGGAAGGGGCGCCGAUACGACCGGCCUGGAGGGGCGUAGGGGGACCGGGAACUUCCGGUGGAGCGGUGAAAUGCGUUGAGAUCGGAAGGAACGCCCGUGGCGAAAGCGCGGUCCUGGACGCCUGCUGACGCUGAGACGCGAAAGCGUGGGGAGCGAACAGG
rnacentral:rRNA from 1 species